AGCAGUGUGGCUUAGUGGAGAGAGUGUGGGACUGAGAGUAAGAAGGACCUGGGUUCAAAUCCCAGCUCUGCCA
rnacentral:tRNA from 1 species